ensembl:lincRNA
CUUCUCUGCAUGUGAGCCUGCUGCCUCUGGCCCCCCUGGCCCCCAGAAGCAAGUUACUUGCCUUGUGCUGCCUUGGGUGAAAGUAAACUUCCUCUACUGGCAGAAGUGGAAUGGCACAAGCCUCUCUGGUCCUCAGGAGCAGCCGCAUCAUGCUGGGACUUCUCUGGCCAUUGUAAUUCUGACGUGAAAAUAGAUCAGUGGAAACUUUGCACAGAAACAUUUCCAGUGUUCAAGUAAGGGCUUUGUAUAGAGGAGCAACACAGGCGCUAUAAUGUACUGCUUGGAGACCAUAAUCUAUCCUGCCCUUAAUGACAGCUUGUACGCGCCCUUGCCUCAACAAACCAGAAGGAACCACUGGCAAAUGGGUGCCACUGCUGGUGAAAGAAAAACAGCCAGAUGUACUGCUUCUGGGACUGGGGCAGAAACCCCUUGAAUACCUGCUUCAAAUCAACUUUCAUGUUUUAUUGUUGGAAAUGGACCCUUUCGAGGAUCACCGCUUCCUUUUGCAAAAAUGGAAAGGAAACAAGACAUGCACAACAUCACCCUGGCCUGCAGUUCCAACACCUUCAUGGAGGUCAUCUUCUAGACAGUUGUGCUUCAAUAGCCAGAAAUCAGCAAAGAUUCCACCCAUCCUUUCUGCCUCGGCUGCUCCUGAACUCAGUGCAACCCCUCCAAAUGAAUGUGAAUUGGAACAUGUAUUGCCUUUCAACUUAAUCGAGUACUUACCAUGAAUCAGUGCACAAAAUAGGGGAGAGAAAAUGAGGGCGACAAAUACACAUGGAACCUGCUUUUAAUGAAUCUACUAUUAGUUUCAGGAUGCAUAUUGUGUUCUUUUGUUUUUAAUUAGGUGUGUCCCUAAGACAAGAAACGAAUGGAAAAGUGUGUUCUGGAAGUAUUUUAAGCCCCAUUAAUGAGAAACAAAAUAAAAUACAACAACAGCAGCCACAAGAGCAACAAGAGCAACAACAAAACUCUAAUGUGAACAACUCAGGACUUUUCAAUUCAGUUUUUUUGAUGUUCUUCAAGUUCUGAGAGAUACGAUCCAUUUUAUUUUGUAUAUUUUGGUGGUGCUGCCAUAGGAUUCAUUUUAUUGAUUCCAUAAAUAUUCAGCAGGCUUUAGAGACAUUAAUACAAUAUAGUUUGAGUUCAUUUGAAUCAAAUUCUAAUUUUUUCCUUUAGGUGUAGAUUGUCUGUUGGAAAAUACAUCUAUUGCAUAUUUCUUGGCCGAAGGAAGGUGAAUUAUACCUGGUGUCUUUAUAGACAUCUGCCUGCCACGCCCUAGGCCCCACCAUUCCAAUGAGUGAGUAGCAAGAAAAGAAAGCUCAUAUUCCACCUUGGGGGUGACACCCAUGGACUAAGUAUUGCACAGGGGCCAGAACAGCUGGGCAAUGAUUCUCCAUGAAAUUUGACUAAAUAAUCUUUUCAGUAUUCAUUGUGUGACUUCUUUUAUUCCCUAAGUUGGAUGACUAUACAGUUUUUCUAGAAAUGUAUUUCUGAGCUGAGAGUAAGUUUAAGUUACGAUUUUUCCAGCGUUAUAACAUUAAUAUGACUCUAGCCACUAGACAUUUUAUGUAGUGUCUGUGACACAUUUUAGUAUGGAUGAGCCAACAAUAGACGUGUCUUUGUCUUGAGUAGUGUCCAUCUGAAUUGAAAAUGAACCAGCUUUUCUUUUUGAACAUCGUCAACAGACUUCUUAAUUAAGCUGCCAAUACAUACUGCCAAUAACACUGUGCUGUUCUAGAAAUAGUGUCAGUGCUGUUUCCACCGUAUUAAAUAAACAAUGCUGCUCCAUAUAUACUGGAUUUUAAGUGUUCUUUGAAUGGGACUGCACAUUGCUCCCUAAAUAAUUUGAUGAGAUUUCUCA